ACGGCUCAGUAACACGUGGAUAACCUGCCCUUGGGUCUGGGAUAACCCCGGGAAACUGGGGAUAAUACCGGAUAACGCAUAUAUGCUGGAAUGCUUUAUGCGUAAAAUGGAUUCGUCUGCCCAAGGAUGGGUCUGCGGCCUAUCAGGUAGUAGUGGGUGUAAUGUACCUACUAGCCUACAACGGGUACGGGUCGUGAGAGCAAGAGCCCGGAGAUGGAUUCUGAGACAUGAAUCCAGGCCCUACGGGGCGCAGCAGGCGCGAAAACUUUACAAUGCGGGAAACCGUGAUAAGGGGACACCGAGUGCCAGCAUCAUAUGUUGGCUGUCCAGAUGUGUAAAAUACAUCUGUUAGCAAGGGCCGGGCAAGACCGGUGCCAGCCGCCGCGGUAACACCGGCGGCCCGAGUGGUGAUCGUGAUUAUUGGGUCUAAAGGGUCCGUAGCCGGUUUGGUCAGUCCUCCGGGAAAUCUGACGGCUCAACCGUUAGGCUUUCGGUGGAUACUGCCAGACUUGGAACCGGGAGAGGUAAGAGGUACUACAGGGGUAGGAGUGAAAUCUUGUAAUCCCUGUGAGACCACCUGUGGCGAAGGCGUCUUACCAGAACGGGUUCGACGGUGAGGGACGAAAGCUGGGGGCACGAACCGGAUUAGAUACCCGGGUAGUCCCAGCCGUAAACGAUGCUCGCUAGGUGUCAGGCAUGGCGCGACCGUGUCUGGUGCCGCAGGGAAGCCGUGAAGCGAGCCACCUGGGAAGUACGGCCGCAAGGCUGAAACUUAAAGGAAUUGGCGGGGGAG
rnacentral:rRNA from 1 species